CUCAGCAGCUACGAGAGGCAACUUUACUCUACUAUCUGCAUCAACAAAAAAAAAAAAAAAAGGAGAGGCAAGGGUUUACAAAGUCUUCCCCAAAGUAAUCCACAAUUGUAGUAGUAGUAGUAGUACCGUCUUUAACUAAAAAGUAGCUACUAAACUCCAAGAUAAACCCUACAUAGCUAAAGCACCGUAAGUAAAACUGACGAACCAACCUUCUUGGAAGAUCCGCUCAUAGAAUGGUCUGUAACAAGAGACGCCCAAAUACGCCAGUCCAAGUACUUCCUCCAAUCACCAGCCACUGCAACACAACUUCUCAAACACAUAAGAAACAAUCAGAGACUCUCUUGAGAUCCAAGAACAUAAGACAAAAGACAAAGGCUGACAUUACCCAACACGAUGUUGAUACAGAACACGAAAGACACUGGAGGCUUAAGCUUCAAGACUUUGACCACAAUGUACGCCCCAAUCGAUGAGCACAUGAAACCGACAAUGGGAACUUGAAAUCCAGUUUCUGCAUAGAAAGUUUUCAAAUCCAAAACGUCAGAAAGCUACAAACUACUUUACAUUCACAAGACAGAGAUGAGAUCAAUAGAAACAAACCCUAAUUUGAAUACCUGGACGAUCCAUUUGUUCAUUCCGAACAUGGAAUAUCAAGAUCCGCUGCUGCUUGCCUGGUUCCUUCUAUCUCUGAUUUCAAUCAGAGAUGAAAGAACCCUGACAAUCUGGGACAUCUCUGGUCUCCUCUCUGGUUCCUUCGCGCAGCAUGAACCUGCCAGUUCAGCUACCUCCUGGACGCUCUGCUGUGUCUCAUAGUCUGUUCCAAUGUCUUCUUCUUCUUCAACGGCCUUCCAGAAGUCGUCUUUCUUCUUCUCGAACCAGAUGGCAAUGUAGUCUUGGGAUCUACUCAUGUAUUCGAAAGCUUUUUUACCGGUUAUUAGCUCCAACAAAAUGACUCCAAAGCUGUAGACAUCUGCCUUCCUCGAAAGCUUUAACCCGUCUGCAAUUACAUACAUUUCACCGGUUAGUUACAAAAAAAACAAAUAUAUAUAUAUAUAUAGAUAUAAAAGACUGUUCUUUCACUCCUAAAGCACUCCACGUCUGAUUCCAAAUCAGAAAUUCGUUGAUCCUGAUGCCGACACGUGUCCUCCAUUUAUUCUGGUGUACAUUGGUUUGGAUUUCGUCUGCAUUCAUAGUCCUUAUUUUACAAGCCCAUCUGUAGAGACUGAGUCAAUAUAUUUGAAACGCGUCGUUUUUUUUAUUCUAUGGGUUAAACCCGUUUUUUCAUCUCCUUCUGAAACUGCCGUCUUCUCCAAUCCCUAAUUUUGCAGCCGUCUAUGUGAGAAUGCAUCUGUAACGUUAAUCGUCAUUCAAACAUGUCAUAAAGAAUCUCUUUUUAACUCUCUGCUACCGUCUCUCCCACUAAGUUGAUUUUAAUUACUCUUUCCCACCACUACUUUGCAAAUACCUUAAUUCUCACAUCUAUAAAUAAGGGAUGAAGAACUCUCCAAAUCUCAUACUUUCACCGUAUUAUUUAUACUACCCCUUUCCUAAAAGAGCUUCCAAAGAUGGUAACCGCUCCAAUCCUGCUUUCCAUCUGAAGAGUGGCCGUGCUUCUAAGACAGUUUUGACGCGGCUUUGGGAGGCAGAACGUCAAGAAAUCUGGAGAACUCAUGGGGUUUGACUUGCUCUUGAUUAAUGAAAAGUCGACGCUGCUACAAGGUUCAGUUCCAUCUCUGUCGACUGUAAUAAUAUGUUUGUGAGGAUGCUUCCACCCGUGAUGAGGAAGAAAUAAAGAGAGAGCCUCUGUGGUGGCUCUGUUCUUUAGCAGAUCAUGACGUCGUUCCCUGUUUCGUAAGGAGUUUCAUGAAUUAGUUCUGAAUUGUACAUAUAUGACUUGAUUUAGUCGGCUCUAUCGUGGGAUAAUCGCGGUACCCCCACUCAGACUGAUCCUAAAGUGUUUUUUUUAAUCAGGAUCUUGGUUCUGCUAGCUUAGGAAAAAGGAAAAUCGGGAACCGGGAUUCUUAGAUAUGAGUUGAGUCUAUGUUUAAGAAGAUAAUCGAUCUGGGGAAGCUCCGAUUAGUUUCAAUCCUUACGGCGGGAAUAUGGAGAGAUUAUAAAGUCGCAACACCGUUCCCGUACCGAGAUAAGCUUUUCAAUAUUUAAUACACUAUAAUAACUGGAAAUAAUUGUCAGCUGCAAAGAUAGAGAAGUGUUUUUAGAAAUAGAUUAAAGUGCUUCCCAGUUUCGUGACCUGGUUUUGUAAGUAAGAAGCCUUUAAAUAUGUAUUUGAUCACGAGCGAGUAAUAACAAAGAAGAAAAAGUGUAUUGGAGAAAGUAUUUUAGAAAGAGCUUCAAUCGAUUAGUAAAGGUCAAAACUUUCGUUGAUCUUAGGAACUUAUUCACAAAUGAAUAGAGUAUCCUACCUGUCAAGUACGACAUAUGAGAUAUUAUUUAUAAUUUGAUAUAAAGAUUGGUGUUAGUUAAAUAUUUAUUGCUUUGGUGAAGCAAUAUAGAAUGUAUUAGUUAUGGAUAUCAUAUAUUGUACGUUUUCUCUGUUUUACAUCACAAUACUCUACAAUUUUAAAUUGUUUCGAAAAGUAUUUAUAAAGAGGUUAAUUAAGAAUAUAGUGGGAUUCUGGAAAAUGCAAACGUUAAAACACCACUAGCUAUGUUUUUAAUACAUUAAUCAUUAUCAUAUUCCGUUAGGGUAUAGUAUCGUGAGAAAAUUUUGACUUUUAUAAAUGCAUUCAUUAUUUGUUUCUAAUAUGUUUUGUUUCACCACUAUUAUGUUUCUCGAAACAGUGGAAUUCAACCUCAGCAAAACUGUCACAGCAUGGGAAGAAAUGUUUAAAUGGAAGAAUGAAUUUGGAACAGAUCGCAUUAUAAAGGUAUGUAGGUAAGUAACUGAUAUUAUAUUUGGUCUUAGAUGUUACAGAAAGGAGUACAUAUAUAGUAGCAUGCCCAAGUUAAUAAAGUUUUUGGCUUUAUUGCUCGAAACAAGAUUUCAAGUUCAAAGAGUUGGUCAACAUCAUAAUGCACUACCAUCAAGGGAAUCAUGGAAUUUAUGAAGAUGGAAUGCCUAUCUAUAUCGAGUGCCUAGGACAAGUCAUCCCAGUAAGUUAUGGAUAUUACAACGAGGGGUACUUGAAGUAUCAUGUACAUGAAUUCGAAAAGCCUCUGCAACAGAAGCUUAACCAACGUUUAUAUGCUUCAUAAAGUUCUUUAAGAACUUAACCAAAAAAUUUAUUGGUUUAAAUUCCAUUAAUGUAAAGAUACAUUAUUUUUUGUAACAUCGAAAUUUACAUAUUAUGAUUUUAAAUUAACUAUUGAUUUGAAUCUA